GCCGACGUUGAACAAAAAUUGUUCCUUCAGAAGUUCAGAGAGGAGGGGGGCUUGAUAGGCCUCGAGCUUUUUGAAGGCUUCGAGGUCGUCCCUUUUCAUGCUAGAAGCCCGACGGACGGAAUCCCUCAGAGAUCCCCAAGGGGGUAAUCCUAGCUCCAAGGUCGGGCAUCGGACAUAGAAGAACCUCUCCUUCCAGUUGUGGAU
rnacentral:lncRNA from 1 species